GAUGAACGCUGGCGGCGUGCCUAAUACAUGCAAGUCGAGCGAAGCGGGGACGGGGGAGUAACACGUGGAUAACCUCCUAUAAGACUGGGAUAAAUUCGGGAAACAGGAGCUAAACCGGAUAAUUAUAGAUGGAUCCGCGCUGCAUUAGCUAGUUGGUAAGGUAACGGCUUACCAAGGCAACGAUCCAUAGCCGAACUGAGAGGGUGCUCGGCCACACUGGAACUGAGACACGGUCCAGCCUCCUACGGUAGGCAGCAGUAGGUAAUCUUCCUCAAUUGGCGAAAGCCUGACGGAGCAACGCCGCGGGAGUGAUGAAGGUCUUCGGAUCGUAAAACUCUGUUAUUAGGGAAGCGUUACCUAAUCAGAAAGCCACGGCUAACUACGUGCCAGCCGCCGCGGUAAUAC
rnacentral:rRNA from 1 species